rnacentral:rRNA from 1 species
GAUGAACGCUGGCGGCGCGCCUAACCCAUGCAAGUCGAACGGAGUGGCGAACGGCUGAGUAACACUUGAGCAACCUGCCCUCCUCUUGUGGAUAGCCUCGGGAAACCGGGAUAAUAACCGAUAGAGAAGGAUGGCCAGAGUCCUGUUAGCUUGUUGGUGGGGUAGAUGACUACCAAGGCAAUGAUGGGUAUCUGGGUUGAGAGACCGACCAGCCAGAUUGGGACUGAGACUCUGCCUAGACUCCUACGUGAGGCAGCAGUGUGGAAUCUUGCACAAUGGGCGAAAGCCUGACGCAGCGAGGCCGCGUGCGGGACGAAUGACUUCGGGUCGUAAGCCGCUUUCUGCAGGGACGCGGUACCUGAAGAAGAAGCCCCGGCUAACUACGUGCCAGCAGCCGCGGUAAUAC